UCCCUCUUAGCUCAGUGGUAGAGCGCGUCACUAGUAUUCUGUUAUAGGAUUCAAGUGUCCUGUACAUGACGAGGUCAGUCGUUCAAGUCGGCUAGAGGGAA